rnacentral:lncRNA from 1 species
UAAUCCUUUUUAUAUAUUUAUUUUUAUUUUAUUUUGGAUUUUAUAUUUUGGUAGAUGUAUUUUAUUAGUUUAAUUAGGUUCUAUGUUUAAUGCAUUUAGAUUGGUUAAUUUAUCUAAUUCAGUUAGUUAGUUAAUUAGAUUAAGUUUUGUUAAAUAUUUAAUAUACUUAGGUAAAUAGAUUAAUUAGUUUCAUGGGUAUAUAAGUCCCAAUCAAAUUUCUACCUUGUCACCAUAUCACUUGUAAAUAAAAUCAAA